CACUCUAGAGAGACUGCCAGGGAUAACCUGGAGGAAGGUGGGGAUGACGUCAAAUCAUCAUGCCCCUUAUGCUUAGGGCUACACACGUGCUACAAUGGGUAGUACAGAGGGUUGCCAAGCCGUAAGGUGGAGCUAAUCCCUUAAAGCUACUCUCAGUUCGGAUUGUAGGCUGAAACUCGCCUACAUGAAGCUGGAGUUACUAGUAAUCGCAGAUCAGAAUGCUGCGGUGAAUGCGUUCCCGGGUCUUGUACACACCGCCCGUCACACCACGGGAGUUGGAGACGCCCGAAGCCGAUUAUCUAACCUUUUGGAAGAAGUCGUCGAAGGUGGAAUCAAUAACUGGGGUGAAGUCGUAACAAGGUAGCCGUAUCGGAAGUGGCGGCUGGAUUACCUCCUUUCUAAGGAGA
rnacentral:rRNA from 1 species